rnacentral:rRNA from 1 species
UACGUAGGGGGCAAGCGUUGUCCGGAAUCAUUGGGCGUAAAGCGCGUGUAGGCGGCCAGAUAAGUCCGCUGUGAAAUCUCGAGCUCAACUUCGAGACGCCGGUGGAAACCAUCUAGCUAGAGUCCGGAAGAGGAGAGUGGAAUUCCUGGUGUAGCGGUGAAAUGCGCAGAUAUCAGGAAGAACACCCGUGGCGAAGGCGGCUCUCUGGUACGUGACUGACGCUGAGACGCGAAAGCGUGGGGAGCGAACAGG